rnacentral:lncRNA from 1 species
GUUGCAGAUGACGUAAGUCACACAUCUUGUAUAUGGAAUACUUGUUUGUAUGGCAGAGCACCGAAAAGUUCACAAGCCAGAGAUCUUGACAGCGGAGUGGAGAUUGUCAUCGCUACUCCAGGAAGAUUGCUAGAUUUUCCUGGAGUUUAUUAGAUUGUAACAAAACGUAGAGUAGAUAAAAUAACGAGAAAAAUGAAACGUAAGGAAUGGUCAACUGUAUGCUUUCAUGGUUAUAAAACUCCACAAGAACGUAAUUGGGUAUUACAAGAUAUUCGAUCUGAUAAGGCUCCAUUUAUUGUAGCAAUUGACGUAGCAGCUCGUGAACUAGGUUGUAGUGGUCAAAGUUGUUGAAGACACAGUCGUGAUUUCUAUUGGAGAAUUUGUGGU